CUAUUUACGAUUGUAGGUUGUCAGAUGCAGCACUCCAGAGGAGCUGGGAGAAAUAAAAAGCACUCUAGGGGACUGGAUCUGUGACUGUGGCGUGUCAACCAUUUUUACUGCAUCGGUGGGUGAUCUGCCCACAAUUUUUGGGCAGUUGGUAACGCACUACAUCUACCACAGAGUGGCCAGUAUGAUUCAGCAGUUUAUUGCUGGAAUAAACUCCUGUGGCCGUUUGUGGGAGGUGGUUUGCCAAAAUGCAACAGUUUUCCUCCCCUUGUUUACAAACACAUGACAAAAAUUGAAAAGAAAUGAGGUCAGAGAUCUUUUUGAAAUUCUUUGGAGUGAUUCCGGGAGCAACAAAAGAGACCAGGAGGAGGACACUGUCUUCCAGUGGGAGUGCUGGCUGAUGUCAAUUCAAGAGGAAGAUGUGGGGAUAUCCUUUGAGGAUCUCUUAGUAUUUGUCACUGCAGCAGAUUCUGUCCCUCCACUGGGGUUUCAGGGAAAGUGCACAAUUAAUUUCUAUGAACAGGAAGAAGGAAUAAGAAGAAUUCCUUAUGCCUCAACCUGUACCCUGACUCUCUACCUACCAAGAGGUGUGUCUGAGGAGGAUGAAUUCAAAGACCUGAUGUACACUGCAAUUAAGGGGUCUCUUGGAUUUGGAAAGGUUUAAAAAUUAC